rnacentral:tRNA from 2 species
GUUUUAAUAAUUUAAUAAAAAUAUUGGUCUUGUAAACCAAAAUUAAGUAAUACUUUUAAAUCA